rnacentral:tRNA from 1 species
GGAAGGAUGGCAGAGUGGUUGAAUGCACCGGUCUUGAAAACCGGCGUCGGGAAACCGAUCAAGGGUUCGAAUCCCUUUCCUUCCGCCA